GACGAACGCUGGCGGCGUGCUUAACACAUGCAAGUCGAACGGCAAGGCCCUGCGUUUGUGGGGUGCUCGAGUGGCGAUCGGGUGCGUAACAGGUGAGUAACCUGCCCUUGACUUUGGGAUAACUUCAGGUAGCUGGGGCUAAUACCGGAUAGGAGAUCCUGCUGCAUUGAGGGGGUUGGAACGUUGCGGCGGUCGCGGAUGGAUGGGCGGGUUAUCAGCUUGCUGGUGGGGUAGUGGCAUACCAAGGAUUUGACGGAUAGCCGGCCUGAGAGGGUGACCGGCCACAUGGGUACUACGGGACGGAGCAGACUGGUAUGGGGGGCAGUAGGGGGGAGUCUUGCACAAUGGGCGGAAGUCUGAUGCGACAACGCUGCGUGUGUAAUGACCUCCUGCGGGGUGUAAACCGCAUUCGCCUGUGACGAAGCGGGAGUGACGGUAAUGAGUGAAGAAGCACCGGCUAACUACGUG
rnacentral:rRNA from 1 species